UUAUUGUCUUGAGGAAACACCUGAUCCCUUUCCGAACUCAGCAGUUAAGCUCAAAGACGCCAAUGGUACUGCAAGGGCAACUUUGUGGGAGAGUAGGUCGCCGCCA
rnacentral:rRNA from 1 species